rnacentral:rRNA from 1 species
ACGCUAGCUACAGGCUUAACACAUGCAAGUCGAGGGGAAACGGCAUUAAGUGCUUGCACUUUUUGGACGUCGACCGGCGCACGGGUGAGUAACGCGUAUCCAACCUUCCCAUGACUAAGGGAUAACCUGCCGAAAGGCAGACUAAUACCUUAUGGUCUUCACUGACGGCAUCAGAUGUGAAGUAAAGAUUUAUCGGUUAUGGAUGGGGAUGCGUCUGAUUAGCUUGUUGGCGGGGUAACGGCCCACCAAGGCAACGAUCAGUAGGGGUUCUGAGAGGAAGGUCCCCCACAUUGGAACUGAGACACGGUCCAAACUCCUACGGGAGGCAGCAGUGAGGAAUAUUGGUCAAUGGGCGAGAGCCUGAACCAGCCAAGUAGCGUGCAGGAUGACGGCCCUAUGGGUUGUAAACUGCUUCUGUAUGGGGAUAAAGUCAGUCACGUGUGAUUGUUUGCAGGUACCAUACGAAUAAGGACCGGCUAAUUCCGUGCCAGCAGCCGCGGUAAUACGGAAGGUCCGGGCGUUAUCCGGAUUUAUUGGGUUUAAAGGGAGCGUAGGCUGGAGAUUAAGUGUGUUGUGAAAUGUAGACGCUCAACGUCUGACUUGCAGCGCAUACUGGUUUCCUUGAGUACGCACAACGUUGGCGGAAUUCGUCGUGUAGCGGUGAAAUGCUUAGAUAUGACGAAGAACUCCGAUUGCGAAGGCAGCUGACGGGAGCGCAACUGACGCUGAAGCUCGAAGGUGCGGGUAUCGAACAGGAUUAGAUACCCUGGUAGUCCGCACAGUAAACGAUGGAUGCCCGCUGUUGGUACCUGGUAUCAGCGGCUAAGCGAAAGCAUUAAGCAUCCCACCUGGGGAGUACGCCGGCAACGGUGAAACUCAAAGGAAUUGACGGGGGCCCGCACAAGCGGAGGAACAUGUG